CUCGUGUGUGCCAGGCCUCGUGCUCGGAGCCAGAGAUGCCAAACAGGGUCCUCCCCAGAGCUCGUAGUUUGCGGUGGGCAAUGACAGAGCUGUGAGUCUCCUCUGGAUCCAAAAAGGCCACCUCUUUCCCCAAGCUGUGCACCUACGCACAGGUGACGGCACGCAGUGGGCACGCGUGCAGGGGUGACUGUUCAACAAAUCGCCAUGAACUCUGUGAAUGCUCGCUAAGCACAGGCCAGGCCCCAGGCCUUGUGCUGGGUGAUGGCAGGACAAAGGACACGCAGACACGGUCCCAGUCUGAUGGGACACUGAGCCAUCACAGCACAGGGGCCGUGGGGGCCCAGAGAAGGCCUCACCCUUGGCCCAGAAGACUUCCUGAAAGAAGGUCCCUUUGCGCUGGAUUCUAAAGGACAAACAGGCGCCGGGGAGAGGGAACAGCGGGAACAAAGGCCCAGGGGCAGCGAGGCCUCGGGUGCUGCACAACUGGAGCGUGAAGCGCUGAGGAAGAGAACAAGCCGGAGCGGCCUGCGGGGUCGGAGGGAGACCAUCUCCUGGCUUCAAAGAGCAGCUGAAUCCGAGCAGCUGAAUCGAGCUCUGUUUCGAGCCCAGUCCUGCCUGCUUGACGUCUUUACCUGGAUGCGGAGCAAGCAUCUCAUGGAGCAUCACCUCAUCCGCUCAUCCCACAGCCUGCCCCGCCUCAGAGAAGGGCAGCUCCAGCCUCCGGGUGUUUUGCUCACUUCUGUAAUCAUGCAGGGCCUGGUGCCCCAUACUUGCAGGAAGGGACAGAAGGGAGAGUUUUCAGGAUGCUCAGAAGUGAGAUCUCUGAGGCGUUGGAAGGGCUGAGGAGGAGGCAGGAAACCGAACAUCCAGGUAACAGAUGCCAAGGACUUGGGCCCCCCUGGCACCAGGGAUGGAGUGGGAAGUGCCAGUGUGGGCAGAAUGGACCCUUGUUCUGGCCUUUUGUUUCCUGCGCCCGUGCCCAAUGAGCCCAGGGCAAGAGUCGGGCACAUCUGCGUCUCGCCCUUUCUCCUGCCCUGCCCAGCCCUGUCCCAGCCCCGGGCACCCCAGCUCCACUCAGUUCAGGGCAGAGCCCUUGCAGAAGCAGGGGAUGUGCUCUGGGCUCUGGCCCCUGAGUCUGAGAAAUCCUCAAGGGACAGGGAGCAGAGGCUUGGGGUGGGGCGAUCCCCAGGGUCACCCCCAGACCAUGAAGCUGAACGCCCCGGCCAAGCCCAAGCUGGAGUCCUGCUCUGCUCUGUGCCUUGGCCCUCGCUGACUGCCCACCCUGCAUGCCUCCAACCUCUUCCUGCCCUCGGCCAGACCCUGCUGGCAUCAGCUGGUUUGCUCAAGGCUCUCAGUGCCCAGCCAGAAGGGACAGGGCGGGCGGUCUCUAGCUAGGUCAGCUUUUCCUGACUCAGGCCUGGCCCUCAGACUGUCAGGCCCCUUGGCUAAGGCCUUGUGGGCAGUGAUGACCUGUGGGAAAGCAGCUGCCAGGCUGGGACCCGGCCCGUCUGCUUCCGCCCGUUUCAGCGAUGGGCUAAAGCCCUUCUCCAUGAAAGAGGAGGAAUGACAGCUGCCUUCUGCCUCUCACUCUGGGGCCCUCUCCUGGCUGCACAACUGGGUCUGGCCUGGCCCUGUUCUCGAUCAGCCUGCGCAGGGCAGGGAGGCGAAUGCGCUCUGGGGACAGGAGCCUGACCUCUCCUCAAAGAUCUGCCGAGAAGGCCAACCCUGAACCAGCCCUCACCACGGCUGCCUCUGCUCCCACCUGCCCCGGGGUCCUGCUCCAGGGAACUAUGGAGGUUCGACGGUCAUCCCUGCCUCAUCCAUGGCCCGGCGCUGGCCCGGCACACGACAGUUGCUCAGAGCUCUUCAAAGUGUGCGUGCAGGUCAGUCCCAGCCUGAGCCUCCUCAUCUGUCCGACAGUGACGUGUGUCCAGUAGCUCAGAGGUGGGAAGAUCCUACAAACUUGGUCCUGGGGCGGGAAGGGCGAAUGGCAUCUUCUCAACCCUGCCACUCCCAUCGCACCGUUGAGACUCGCCCCGAGUCACACCACCACCAAGAGCGAACGCUGCUGCUCGUACUACUUAAAGGCACUGUUCUAACACUUUCCAAAUGUAACACCUUCGUAACCACCACACACGGGGAAACUGUCAUCCCCAUUUUAUGGAAGAGGAAACUGAGGACAGAGGUAAGAACUAACUUGCCCAUGGCCACACGAUAAGCCGCAGUAAAGGCAGGAUCUCGAACUGGUCCCUUCAGCCUUGCAAAGGUGGGCUGAGGCCAUGCUCGGACACUGCGUUUCCCACCCCUUGUCUGCAGGCCUGGAUGAGGGACCCAGAGCUCCAGGGAAGCGGAAAGCGCUACUGCUUUUUUUUUCUUCUUCAGGGCUGCACCCACAGCAUGUGGAGGUUCCCAGGCUAGGCGUCCAAUGGGACCUGUAGCCGCCGGCCUACGCCACAGACACAGCAAUGGGGGAUCCAAGCCGUGUCUGCGAACUACACCACAGCUUACGGCAAGGCCGGAUCCUUAAGCCACUGAGCGAGGCCAGGGAUCGAACCCGCAACCUCAUGGUUCCCAGUCGGAUUCGUUAAGCACUGAGCCACGACGGGAACUCCUACUUUCUAAAUGUUGAUCAAAUUGGAAUCCACUGCUGCUGAACUACCCCCGUCCUCACUAGUUCUUGCCUAGACAGCGGCUGAGACCGAGUCUCCCUACGUGUGUCCAGGCCCACCCAACUAUCUUCCAGGACGCAGCCUGUACCAUCUUCUGAGUCAAGUCCAGGAGUUCCCGUUGCGCCUCAGUGGUGACGAACCUGACUAGUAUCCAUGAGGACCCAAGUUCGAUCCCUGGUCUUGCUCCGUGGGUUAAUGAUCUGGCGUGGCUGUGGCGUAGGCCGCCAGUUGCAGCUGUGAUUCAACACCUAGCCUGGGAACUUCCAUAUGCAGCAGGUGCGGCCUAAAAAAAAAACAAAGAAAAGAAAAAGAAAAUUCAAGUCCAACUGUGCUACUCUUCAAAUUCUCCAAGGACUCUCUCCUGUCUCGGAGAUGAAAAAGUAAAACCCAGCCUCCCUGGUCCCGCUCCCCAUGAUCCGUGAAGCAAACUCCCCCAACAGAAGAAAAGCAGAGCCCGGCUGCAGCCCACGGGCCACCCCAGCCGCUGCUGACUCACCACUGAAAACGCAGUAAGUACAUCGGGAACCUGCUCCUGCUUCCAAAAAAUACCUUCUGACAAACCAAAAUGCAUUUGCAAGAUGAGAGACCGAAAGUGCUUCUCAGAAUGCUCCCGACUAUCUGAAGGAGACAGCGUCCUCCCCCCGCCCCCUCUCCCCAACUCUCCCCAGAAAACGCAGGAUUCACAUGCCCAGCAAAGGCAGGCUGAGGCCGGAAACGCACAACAAAACCUUGUGAUGCACCCAGAACAACAAGUCUGCCCAACCCGUCGCCUGGCCUUUUGUCAUCAGUGUAAUAAACUCCGACCCACGUUCCCCAAACAGGUCAGGAAGGGCUGCGGAAAAAAGAUGUCCCUUUAAUAAAACGUUAUCAACAUAUAUCGUACACAAACUACAAUGUAUCAUAAUUACUUUUUUUUUUUCUCUCUUAAUUCAGAACCAGACUACAAGGUAAGAAAAAACACAGAAACAGCUACAAUGUUCCCAAUAAUCCGCACAAGGUCUUUUUUCAGGCAGAUGAUAUCUCACAUAAUAUGAUAUACAUGGAUGGGGGGAGGGGGGAAAACAAAGACCAGCUACGGGGGGAGGGGCGGCGGGCGUCAAUGUACAAAGAAUUGGGGUGUCUUCAGGGCCAGACACAGAGGUUCCGAUGGGGGGUGGUGAGGUGACGGCGGCCACGAGUCACCCCUCCUGGGAGGGGACAGGCUCUACUGUCGAGUGUGUCGGUUUUUGAAAAUAAAAACAGGACCAGAAACAGCACGUCGGUUUGGUUGUGGGUGUCCCCGCCCCGACCCCCCGCCGCUAUUCCGAAGUCUUUCCGUCCAGUUCCAAGCAUCUACAGAGCAAUUCUGGUCAAUAUCCCACCUCGGAGAAAGAAUCAAGAGAAAAAACCCCAAGCAACCCCCCCCUCCAGCCCUACGCUGUCCGCACGCACGAGGACGAUGCGAGGGGUGAGCCCACGGGGGGGCACGGUCUCCACGUCCCAGGUCAUAGCCAUCCUGCCGGGGGCCGCCCGCCCCGCUCCGCUCCGCUCCGGGCCACCGUCCCGCUGGCAGGAUUCUCACUGGGAAGACGGGGCUGAGGGGGGGCCAAGGAGGGGGCGGGAGGCGGGGUGCAGAGAGGUCCCGGAGAGAGAGGAAGCAGUCCUGGGAGCACAGUGCCGGCCACUGGGUCACAGCGCGCGUCUCCGCCGGGACGGGAUCCUGAAAGUGGUGGGCGGCCCCUCCAGCCACACACUGGGGGGGGGGGGGGGCAGGGUCCAAGUUGUGCAGCUGCUGUUGCCACCUCGCAGGGAGGGCACCAAGCAAAGACGGAGCAGGUUCCCCGCCCCUCCCUUGCCCGUCAGCACAAAGCCAAAAACGGCCAGCGGAAAAGGGUGACUCUUUUCUUUCCAAAAAAGGCCUUUUGAAAGAAACCACCGAUUGUAAACUGCCCAGUUUAUUAUAAUAAUUACGGUUUUAGAUGGCUACAAAGGUGAGAUCUCACACCUAGACUAGCUUUCCUGGUGGAAGGGCUUGGGUACAGACAGACAAAAGGGCUUGGAUUUUUUUUUGUCCUUUUUUCUUUUUCUUUUUUUUUUUUUUUUUUU